rnacentral:rRNA from 1 species
UACGUAGGGUGCAAGCGUUGUCCGGAAUUAUUGGGCGUAAAGAGCUCGUAGGCGGUCUGUCGCGUCGGAUGUGAAAAUCCAGGGCUCAACCCUGGACCUGCAUUCGAUACGGGCAGACUAGAGUUCGGUAGGGGAGACUGGAAUUCCUGGUGUAGCGGUGAAAUGCGCAGAUAUCAGGAGGAACACCGGUGGCGAAGGCGGGUCUCUGGGCCGUAACUGACACUGAGGGACGAAAGCUAGGGGAGCGAACAGG